rnacentral:rRNA from 1 species
UCAGGGAUAUUCCGGCGAAAGUCGGCGCAAUACUUGAUGGUCUCCCAAAUUCAUAUUUGGGAGUAAAGAUUUAUCGCUUCUUGAACGGCCUGCGGGCUAUCAGCUAGUUGGUACGGUAACGGCGUACCAAGGCUACGACGGCUAGGGGAGGUGAGAGCCUGACCCCCACCGAUGGAACUGAGACACGGUCCAUACUCCUACGGGAGGCCGCAGUCGAGAAUCUUCCGCAAUGGGCGAAAGCCUGACGGAGCGACGCCGCGUGGUGGAUGAAGUCCUUAGGGACGUAAACACCUUUUAUGAGUGAAGAAGUUUAUUGACAUUAGCUCAUGAAUAAGGGGCUCCCAACUCUGUGCCAGCAGGAGCGGUAAUACAGAGGCCUCAAGCGUUAUCCGGAUUCACUGGGCGUAAAGGGUGCGUAGGCGGUUAUAUUAGUCGGGUGUAAAAUCCUAGGGCUCAACCUUAGGCUCGCGUUCGAAACGGUAUAACUAGGAGUAGUGAGAGGUGAACAGAACUCACGGUGUAGGGGUGAAAUCCGUUGAUAUCGUGGGGAAUACCAAAUGCGAAGGCAGUUCACUGGCGCUUACUCGACGCUGAGGCACGAAAGCGUGGGUAGCGAACGGGAUUAGAUACCCCGGUAGUCCACGCCCUAAACGCUGUCCGCUGGCUUUAGGGAGAAUCGACCCUCCCUGAGGCGAAGGUAACCCGUUAAGCGGACCGCCUGGGUAGUACGAGCGCAAGCUUAAAACUCAAAGGAAUAGACGGGGGCUCGCACAAGCGGUGGAUCAUGAGGCUUAAUUCGUCGAUAAGCGAAAAACCUUACCCAGGCUAGAAACCAUACUGCACGCUCUCCGAAAGGAGAGAAUCCUUCGAGGGUGUAUGGCAGGUGAUGCAUGGCCGUCGUCAGUUCGUGGCUUGAGCUGUUCCCUUAAGUGGGGAAGAGUACGCAGCCCUCGUUGCUUGUUACAAG